CAGGACGAACGCUGGCGGCGUGCUUAACACAUGCAAGUCGAACGAUGAAGCUUAGCUUGCUAGGUGGAUUAGUGGCGAACGGGUGAGUAACACGUAGGUAAUCUGCCCUGCACUUUGGGAUAAGCCUGGGAAACUGGGUCUAAUACCGAAUAGGACACACUAUCUUUACGGUGGUGUGUGGAAAGCUUUUGCGGUGUGGGAUGAGCCUGCGGCCUAUCAGCUUGUUGGUGGGGUAAUGGCCUACCAAGGCGUCGACGGGUAGCCGGCCUGAGAGGGUGUACGGCCACAUUGGGACUGAGACACGGCCCAGACUCCUACGGGAGGCAGCAGUGGGGAAUAUUGCACAAUGGGCGAAAGCCUGAUGCAGCGACGCCGCGUGGGGGAUGAAGGCCUUCGGGUUGUAAACUCCUUUCGCUAGGGACGAAGAGUUACAUUGACGGUACCUGGAGAAGAAGCACCGGCUAACUACGUGCCAGCAGCCGCGGUAAUACGUAGGGUGCGAGCGUUGUCCGGAAUUACUGGGCGUAAAGAGCUCGUAGGUGGUUUGUCGCGUCGUCUGUGAAAUCCCGGGGCUUAACUCCGGGCGUGCAGGCGAUACGGGCAUAACUUGAGUGCUGUAGGGGAGACUGGAAUUCCUGGUGUAGCGGUGAAAUGCGCAGAUAUCAGGAGGAACACCAAUGGCGAAGGCA
rnacentral:rRNA from 1 species